AGAGUUUGAUCAUGGCUCAGGACGAACGCUGGCGGCGUGCCUAACACAUGCAAGUCGAACGGGACCAGGGGCAACUCUGGUUCAGUGGCGGACGGGUGCGUAACACGUGAGGAACAUGACCUUCGGCGGGGGAUAGCCGGCCCAACGGCCGGGUAAUACCGCGUACGACCGUUUAGGGACAUCCCCGAAUGGUGAAAGCAGCAAUGCGCCGAUGGAGUGCCUCGCGGCCUAUCAGCUAGUUGGUGGGGUAACGGCCCACCAAGGCGACGACGGGUAGCUGGUCUGAGAGGAUGGCCAGCCACAUUGGGACUGAGACACGGCCCAGACUCCUACGGGAGGCAGCAGUGGGGAAUAUUGCGCAAUGGACGAAAGUCUGACGCAGCGACGCCGCGUGUGGGAUGACGGUCUUCGGAUUGUAAACCACUGUCGGGAGGGACGAAUACGCCGCAAGGCGGGUGACGGUACCUCCAAAGGAAGCACCGGCUAACUCCGUGCCAGCAGCCGCGGUAAUAC
rnacentral:rRNA from 1 species